AGUUACACUCUGUUGAUUCAAAAGAAGGUUGUUUGUCCAAGCUUGUCCAAGUCAGUUUCAAGAGGCUCAGCCACCAAAAGGUUCAUCAAAGAGGAAAGCCAAGGUCAUCAGUAAAGCCUCUCAAGAGCUACCUGGAACGGGCAGGAAAGAAAAAUGCAGAUAAGAAAAUUAAAACCACAGACUCCUGGGCAGCGAACAAGAGCCUUCUGAUCCUAAUUCGAUCUGGAGUUAAGAAUGAAGGGGGUUUCUGUAGCAGUUUCUUUUGCAUAGCAGAGCUCCGACUUUUCCAGCAACAGCGUGUCCCUGGAAGCUACACAAAGUCCUCUUUGAUUGCCUGUGAUCAAAGCCACGAAGGCUCUCCUGCAACAUCUUAGCUUCAGAAAGCCAGGAAAAUCAGAAUGCUGACAGUAUAUUAAUAAUUCCUAAACAUAUUUUUAAGGUUCUUCAGGCCUGUCUCAGAGCUAUCAAGGAUGCAGCAAAAGGGAUGCCUUUGAUCUGCUGUCUCUGGAUGCACAAGGAGCUCAGAGAAACAACCAGGACACAGAACAAAACAAAGCAUGGAGCUCUAAUUUAGGGGUUUCAGCUAAGCGAGUCACUCAGCACCAGCACUGCACAGGAGUUCUUACAGCUUCCUUUAUGAGAAAGAUUUGUUCUUCUGUUUAUAGGGUAUCAGAGCCAGGAGGGUGGCUGACUCUGAUGAUAGAACAAGAGCCAGAUAUGCUCCUGCUGCUCCAGUAGAGUGGUCUUCAGGUGAUCGAGAUUCCGAGC
rnacentral:antisense_RNA from 1 species